rnacentral:lncRNA from 1 species
AACAGCCCUUGCUGCACCUUUUCCAUCAUCAGAACCAAAACCUUGUGUCCGUGAUUUGUACAGCCUGGGAGAUUUGCAGUCCUUACAAGAAAAAACAGCUUUACAGUUGCAGAUGUUGGAUGAGGGCAGCUCAGAAACAGCUACCAAUUCAACUGUAACUCUCAAAACCAAAGUGGAUGCAAGUCUUGUGACAAAAAGAGCAGAAAAUAAAGUUCAGCAUCUGGAGCUGAAGAUACCAGAGCCAAGGAGUCUGGACAGUCAACAGCAACCAUCUAGUUUUGGAGAAAGCUAUAAAAAGCAGUUGGAACAGGUUAAACUAAAGUGUGUUAAUGCCAGAAAAAAAAUGCCAACUCAAGAAGUGUCACAGGAAAGCUGCUAUGGAGAGGGAAAACAAACAAACCUUGAACAGUCUGGUCAUCCUGUUUCAAGUCGAUUAUCACCAUCAGAUGCUGUUUUGAAGAAAAAUCACCCAUCACACAUUUAUGGAACACCAAGCACC